UGCCAGCCGCCGCGGUAAUACAGAGAGUGCGAGCGUUAGUCGGAAUUAUUGGGCGUAAAGGGUGUGUAGGUGGUUAAAUAAGUUAGAUGUGAAAUCCUAUAGCUUAACUAUAGAACUGCGUUUAAAACUGUUUGACUAGAGUAUUGUAGGGGAAAGUAGAAUUUCCGGUGUAGCGGUGAAAUGCAUAGAUAUCGGAAGGAAUACCAGAGGCGAAGGCGGCUCACUGGCACAUUUCUGACGCUGAGGCGCGAAAGCGUGGGGAGCAAACAGGAUUAGAUA
rnacentral:rRNA from 1 species